AGUGAACGCUGGCGGCGUGCCUAAUACAUGCAAGUCGAACGGAGUGGCGCACGGGUGAGUAAUGUAUAGCUAAUCUGCCCUACACUAGAGGACAACAGUUGGAAACGACUGCUAAUACUCUAUAGUGUAGGAUGAGGCUAUAUUGUAUCAGCUAGUUGGUGAGGUAAUGGCUCACCAAGGCUAUGACGCAUAACUGGUCUGAGAGGAUGAUCAGUAAAACUGGAACUGAGACACGGUUGAGAAUCAUACGGGAGGGAGCAGUAGGGAAUAUUGCUCAAUGGGGGAAACCCUGAAGCAGCAACGCGGCGUGGAGGAUGACAAUUUACGAAGCAUAAACUCCGUUUGUUAGGGUAGCGGUACCUAACGAAUAAGCACCGGCUAACUCCGUGCCAGCAGCCGCGGUAAUUC
rnacentral:rRNA from 1 species